GGACUGUCCGGCUGGGAGGUGGGUCACCAUACUGAUUGCCAGGGUUGAUGCUACUGAUCUUGCUGGUUAAGAGGGUACGGGCUUCCUCCCUCAAGGUGGCUCCAUGUGUGUCCCUCCUGAAGCUGUGUGCAUGGUGGAGGAGGAAGACUUUCCCUGAGAGAAGAGACCAGAUCUUCCAUCAAGGGGCAUGCAGGCAGCUGUGCUCCUCUACUAGAACCUUCAAACAACCUCUCCAGGGUGUAAACUAGCUGGCUAACAACUUUACAUUAAUAAUAGUAGAGACUGGGCGGGGCUCCGGCACUAAAGUGGGUUUUACCCUUUGGUUUUCUCU
rfam:Cricetulus griseus cell line CHO-K1, whole genome shotgun sequence.